rnacentral:rRNA from 1 species
UACGUAGGGGGCAAGCGUUGUCCGGAAUCAUUGGGCGUAAAGCGCGUGUAGGCGGGUCGGUAAGUCCGCUCUGAAAGCCCGGGGCUCAACCUGGGAAUUGCAGUGGAUACUGGCAAGCUAGAGUGCGGUAGAGGAUGGUGGAAUUCCCGGUGUAGCGGUGAAAUGCGUAGAGAUCGGGAGGAACACCCGUGGCGAAGGCGGCCAUCUGGACCAGCACUGACGCUGAGGCACGAAAGCGUGGGGAGCAAACAGG